rnacentral:lncRNA from 1 species
UACUUGACUAGUCCGAGUGGGAUACGCCUAUCCCUUGUCCUGACCAUAUCCGAGUACACCCCUUAGUGGGCCGUUCAAGGUCUACUCGUGGGCCUAGGGUGCAUUCCCGACAACCUUCAAAUUUGUAUUAUGCAAAGCUUUAUCAAGAUUUUGAGCUUCACCGGAUGCUAUGAAACAACCACAUUUAAUAGUGUUGUUUUUGUAUACCUUGGCCUUCCUGUUGAUGCCGCUUUGUA